UCCCACAUUCGCAUGUGUUUAAAUCCUGGCUAAUACAGUUGGCAGUGUAAAAGUAAAGUAGCUCUGCUUGUUUGCAUUAGUACUUUGGGGAUUAUUAAAUUGUAUGUAAUCUCUAUUAAAAACAGGAGAUGCUGCAUUAGGGGAUGGAGUAAAACGGCACUUUUUCACAUUGAUAAUGGAAAAGCUCCACCAUGGAUUUGAACUUGACAUCGAGAACUGUGGCAAAACACUUCUCUUCAAUGGCGAAGAUGAUCACUAGGUUCCUUCAACAUCCAGAGCACUCUUUGAUGAUGAUACUUAGGAGAGUCAUCUGGCC